rnacentral:rRNA from 1 species
GGCGAGCGGCGGACGGGUGAGUAAUGCCUGGGAAUCUGCCCAGUCGAGGGGGAUAACAGUUGGAAACGACAGCUAAUACCGCAUACGCCCUACGGGGGAAAGCAGGGGACCUUCGGGCCUUGCGCGAUCGGAUGAGCCCAGGUGGGAUUAGCUAGUUGGUGAGGUAAUGGCUCACCAAGGCGACGAUCCCUAGCUGGUCUGAGAGGAUGAUCAGCCACACUGGAACUGAGACACGGUCCAGACUCCUACGGGAGGCAGCAGUGGGGAAUAUUGCACAAUGGGGGCAAGCCUGAUGCAGCCAUGCCGCGUGUGUGAAGAAGGCCUUCGGGUUGUAAAG